UGGACCAAAAGUCUGAUCCAGCAAUUCUGUGUGCACGAUGAAGGUCUUCGGAUUGUAAAGUGCUUUCAGUUGGGAAGAAGAAAGUGACGGUACCAACAGAAGAAGCGACGGCUAAAUACGUGCCAGCAGCCGCGGUAAUACGUAUGUCGCAAGCGUUAUCCGGAUUUAUUGGGCGUAAAGCGCGUCUAGGCGGAAAAAUAAGUCUGAUGUUAAAAUGCGGGGCUCAACUCCGUAUUGCGUUGGAAACUGUUUUUCUAGAGUACUGGAGAGGUGGGCGGAACUACAAGUGUAGAGGUGAAAUUCGUAGAUAUUUGUAGGAAUGCCGAUGGAGAAGUCAGCUCACUGGACAGAUACUGACGCUGAAGCGCGAAAGCGUGGGGAGCAAACAGGAUUAGAUACCCUGGUAGUCCACGCCGUAAACGAUGAUCACUAGGUGUUGGGGGUCGAACCUCA
rnacentral:rRNA from 1 species